UGGCUCAGAUGGUAAAGUGCCUGCCUACAGUGCAGGAGACUCAGGUUCAAUCCCUGG
rnacentral:tRNA from 1 species